GAUUAGAUACCCUAGUAUAAAAUUUUAAUAGUAGAUUAGUAUAUAAAAGAAAUUUUAAAUUUUUGGCGGUAAAUUAUUAUUUAGAGGAGCUUGUCUAUAGAAAUUACUCUUUAUAUUUCAUUAAUUAUUGUUUAUUUAUCUCCGUUAUAAGGUGGGAACUUAAUAAGAUUAAGCUAAGAUUUCAGGUCAAGAUGUAGCAAUAAUUAGGGAAGAUUAGCUACAUUAAUUUAAUUAUGGAUUUUUAAAAAAUUUUGGGUUGAAAUUGAAUUUAAUUGUAAUUUAACUUAGAAUGGUUAAAUGAAAUUAUUUAAUUUAUGUACAUAUUGCCCGUCACUUCUUUUUACAAAAAGAAUAAGUCGUAACAAAGUA
rnacentral:rRNA from 1 species